AGAAAAAGAAAGAAAGAAAGAAAGAAAGAAAGAAAGAAAGAAAGAAAGAAAGAAAGAAAGAAAGAAAGAAAGAAAGAAAGAAAGAAAGAAAGAAAGAAAGAAAGAAAGAAAGAAAGAAAGAAAGAAAGAAAGAAAGAAAGAAAGAAAGGAGAAGCCUGUUUGGAACCACAAUUUUAGGGUGUACAGAAGUGUACAGCUCCUUUUGGAGUGGGGCUGGAAUGGGGUCUCAUUUAAGCAACAGAGAUGAAAAAAAAUAAGCUUGGAUUUUCCUUUUUUUUUUUUCAUGCAUAAUAAUAAUUCUGGGAUUGAAUAUAGCUGGUUGUAUGUAUUUAAUUUUUCCCCUCUAUUUGUAUAUUAAUAUAAUUCUUGUUUAAUCUCUUGACAUUUUAGAUGUAAGAAAUCUUGUAGAAAAUAUAAUUACUGAAGGAUUGCUGCCUCUGUACUUACAGUUUUGUACUUUGGAGGGUUUUUUUUCAUCACAUCCUGACUGUGUUGUGAUGCAGAGCAUAUGUUACUGACAUGAGUGCACUGAGGUCACCACAGCCAUUGCUGAGCUCCUAUUUAUGUAUUUUUAAAAGGAGAAGAGAGGGGAAGAAGUUGAACUGUUUGCUGCCAUGCUGCUGUUACGACCUGUUUCGAAGAAACUUCCAUAUGGUAUUUCUGGCUCUAGCCCUUCAGGUUGACUCUCUUGUCCCUGCCCUGAGUCACCGGUGGCACACGUGGCAUGGACGGACGGCGUGAGCAAUGUGGGCUUGGGCAGCAUCUGGCACAUUGGACUCUUUUUCGUUUCACUGCAAAUGGACAGCAGGCAGUCCCUGCAUGGAUAGCACUCACUGUCAGGAGACAAUUAUUUUCUCAGAAGACUUUCUACGUGACUUAUAUGCAAACCAUGAGGGUGGCAUCAUCUCCAGAUUACACACAGGAACUGAGACCCGUGUCAGAAGUGUCCAUGUUGUGUGCGUUAACCAUUUUGGAUGGACAGCUUGAGAUGCUGAGGACCCAGCUUUUGGAGCAGCUGACAUUAUUUGGCACUUUCUCUAAUCAAAGCCAGGUAACCCAAGGGCAGAUCUCAGACCCUCUUUGGGGAGAGGAAAGGCUUCACUCAGCUUCUUGCAUGGAGCCGCACCGUGUCCUUCCCCCUGCCCAGCUCCGCUGGCCCAGAUGCAGCCUGCUCAGAUGGCUUGAAAUAGAGAAGGGUCGAGGAGGAAAAGUGGCAGCUGAAGCCAGACCAAAUCAAAUUAUUUAACCGAACUAUUUAAUAAGUGCCUCCAUGCAGCAGACUUUGAGCUUCCUGCUUUAAAAAGCCUGCAACUUUCUGUCAUGUUUUCCUCAUCUCACCCCAGCUGUAGGAGUAAAGGGCUGGCCCCAGACCUAAGGUAAAGUAUUUGUGAAUGUGAAGCUCAGGUGGCAAGGCCCCUUGACGCUGCUUGUGUACUGGCCGUAACGCUUUAGCAAGGGGAAUUUUUUCAAGGGGUGAUCAAUCUUCCCUGUCAUGUUUGCUGUGUGAACUUGCCUGUGCAAGGUAUGUAGUAAAAGCCUUUUCUGCGGCCUUCCUGUGUUGACACAAAGCUGGCAAAUCUGGUGGUAGCCCUUCCCAGGUGCCCUUCUUGUGAUGAAGCCAGCAUGUUUUGCAAACACGGAGUUGGCCAAGACAGCCGCUUUCGUGAGCACCAGGAUUUGCCUACAUAAAGCGCUGGGAGUGGAUGAGUAAAAGAGUGGCAAGCAGGCCUGUGGGGACUGGUUUAUGCCCGUGCAGUGAUGUUCUUUAUGCAGCUCAGAAUACAGUAAUCCUCUUGUGCAAAUCUGAGGAGAUUCAGCAGAGGUGUUUGGUACCUGUUGGCAGCUGUUACUUCUCCCCUUCCCCCCCCCUUUUUUUUUCAUUUCUGUUUUGACAAAAAAAAAAGAGAUUGAUUUGGCUAGAUGGCUGAUAUCAAGUCCUUAGAUAGGGCAACCAAAUAUCUGACUUUUAUCACUGAAUUUUGCAGUCAAUAUAGGAUGGGGGAAAAGCUAAAGCUGUGACCUACACAUCACCAAUGCUUGCUAGCAGGACAAGGAAUUGUGGCAGUGGCAUCAAGCCUACCUCUAAGACUUAGGUCUUCACUAUUCAAACUGGUUGGAUAGCACAGUUAAGAUCCAUAAACCUAUGGCUGCUACUCUAACAGAAGUGCUGGUGCCAGUAGUUGUGUUCUUGGCACAGGAUUCAAAUGUCCCAGCCAACCUGCAAUGAGAUCCCCGAAGAAAAGGAA
ensembl:lncRNA